UCCCAGACUCCUACGGGAGGCAGCAGUGGGGGAUAUUGCACAAUGGGGGAAACCCUGAUGCAGCGACGCCGCGUGGGUGAAGAAGCGCCUCGGCGCGUAAAGCCCUGUCAGCAGGGAAGAAAAUGACGGUACCUGAAGAAGAAGCCCCGGCUAACUACGUGCCAGCAGCCGCGGUAAUACGUAGGGGGCAAGCGUUAUCCGGAUUUACUGGGUGUAAAGGGGGCGCAGACGGCGAUGCAAGCCAGGAGUGAAAGCCCGGGGCCCAACCCCGGGACUGCUCUUGGAACUGCGUGGCUGGAGUGCAGGAGGGGCAGGCGGAAUUCCUGGUGUAGCGGUGAAAUGCGUAGAUAUAAGGAAGAACACCAGUGGCGAAGGCGGAUGACUGGACGGCAACUGACGGUGAGGCGCGAAAGCGUGGGGAGCAAACAGGAUUAGAUACCCCAGUAC
rnacentral:rRNA from 1 species